rnacentral:rRNA from 1 species
UACGGAGGGUGCAAGCGUUAAUCGGAAUUACUGGGCGUAAAGCGUGCGCAGGCGGUUUGUUAAGUCUGUUGUGAAAUCCCCGAGCUCAACUUGGGAAUUGCAAUGGAUACUGGCAGGCUGGAGUAUGGUAGAGGAAGGUGGAAUUCCCGGUGUAGCAGUAAAAUGCGUAGAGAUCGAGAGGAACACCAGUGGCGAAGGCGGCCUUCUGGACCUAUACUGACGCUCAUGCACGAAAGCUAGGGGAGCAAACAGG